CCAAAGGCUCUUUUCAGAGCCACCAACAAAUUCAGAAAAAGAGCUU
rfam:Egretta garzetta contig62063, whole genome shotgun sequence.